CCUACGGGAGGCAGCAGUGAGGAAUAUUGGUCAAUGGGCGGAAGCCUGAACCAGCCAAGUCGCGUGAGGGAAUAAGGCCCUACGGGUCGUAAACCUCUUUUGCCGGGGAGAAAGGGCGGGGACGUGACCCGGCCCGGAGAGUACCCGGAGAACAAGCAUCGGCCAACUCCGUGUCAGCAUCCGCGGGAAUACGGAGGAGGCGGGCGUUAGCGGGAUUAAAUGGGUUUAAAGGCGGCGUAGGGGGGCGUUUAAGUCAGCGGUAAAAAUUCGGGGCUCAACCCCGGCCGGCCGUUGAAACUGGGGGCCUUGAGUGGGCGAGAAGAAGGCGGAAUUCGUGGUGUAGCGGUGAAAUGCAUAGAUAUCACGCAGAACCCCGAUUGCGAAGGCAGCCUUCCGGAGCCCUACUGACGCUGAGGCACGAAAGUGCGGGGAUCGAACAGGAUUAGAUACCCUAGUAGUC
rnacentral:rRNA from 1 species